GAGGCUUUUGAUUUUUGAGCCCUUACAAUAGGGAUAUCCCUCUCACAUUGGAUCUCAGUUCGGCAGCUGAACCAUACCUCAGUUGCUGGCUUUCUCAUUAUUGUAGUAAUCUCUUCCGAUACGAUUCAGAAUUUUUUCAUUUGAUACCCUAAAUUCUAUAAAGGAUGACUCUUAAAUUCAUUUAAUGAUCUCUAUCUCUACUCUCAACUAAAUUUGGAUUAGAGUUAACAACUUUUAGCGACCUGGUCAAUAUACUGUUUUAUUUUCAGGGGUUUCACCAAAGUAAAAGUAAAAUCUGUUUGAAAUCUUAGGAUGCCUAUUUUUAGGAUGCAUUAGAUAAUCUUAUAUAAUCUUAUAUUCUGAUAUUGCUAUCUGUACAUUAUGCCUAUUCUUAGGUUGCAUUAGAUAAUCUUAUAUCAACAACAUUUCCCUCGCAUCCAUACUGUUAUAACUUCUAGUGAAACAUUGUCUCAUCCAGAUUACUUGUUGACUUGUUUCAACGUUUGUAUGGUGUCAAAACUCCCAUUCACUUUUUAAAUGCAAUGGAGUUGAUUCUAUCCUUCUUUCUACAAUAUUCAACUAAGUGAUAUUCAUCUUUCAUACUCGUUAAAAAAAAUACCGAUCUGCUAAAGGUUAUACCUACUAUGCUUGUGGACUAAUUCUCUCUUGGAUUAGGUCACUAGAUUUUCAAACAGUAUAAACUCCUAGUUGUAUUCAUUACCGUCCAUUCUUUUCUCUCAAGCUUUCUGCCAUCAUUCUUAUCAGUUAGGAUGUCUGGUCAUUUUGUUGAUGGUUUAGUCAAUCAAUAUAAUUAAAAGAUUGAUACUGUUACUGUGCAAUCAAAUAUUUUGAGUUGGAGGUGAAUCUCCAUUAUUUCUUUUAGGGUAAAAAGCAUAGUUAGAGCUAAUGUUAGAAAUGUAAAUGUUAGUUCUUGAUAUUUGUAUGUAAACUUACUUUCUUCUUGCAUAGUAAGUAGUGUAAGCAUGAGACAUUGUACAUACAGCUUCAUGACUGUCAUGUCAUGUCAUUCAUACAUUUAUUUAUAUAAUGGAUAUACAAUUA
rnacentral:lncRNA from 1 species